UACGUAGGGUGCAAGCGUUGUCCGGAAUUAUUGGGCGUAAAGGGUGCGUAGGCGGCGCGGUAAGUCGGGUGUGAAAUCUCGGAGCUUAACUCCGAAACUGCAUUCGAUACUGCCGUGCUUGAGGACUGGAGAGGAGACUGGAAUUUACGGUGUAGCGGUGAAAUGCGUAGAUAUCGUAAGGAAGGCCAGUGGCGAAGGCGGGUCUCUGGACAAGUUCCUGACGCUGAGGCACGAAGGUCAGGGGAGCAAACGGG
rnacentral:rRNA from 1 species